rnacentral:piRNA from 1 species
UACUCAUUUCUUCUGGUCAAAAGAACUAGC